rnacentral:rRNA from 1 species
GACGAACGCUGGCGGCGUGCUUAACACAUGCAAGUCGAACGAUGAAGCUGGAGCUUGCUCCGGUGGAUUAGUGGCGAACGGGUGAGUAACACGUGAGCAAUCUGCCCUUGACUCUGGGAUAACUGCGGGAAACUGUAGCUAAUACCGGAUACUUUCACUGGAAGGCAUCUUCUGGUGAAGAAAGAAUUUCGGUCAAGGAUGAGCUCGCGGCCCAUCAGCUUGGUGGUGAGGUAACGGCUCACCAAGGCGACGACGGGUAGCCGGCCUGGGAGGGUGACCGGCCACACGGGGACUGAGACACGGCCCAGAAUCCUACGGGAGGCAGCAGUGGGGAAUAUCGCACAAUGGGCGCAAGCCUGAUGCAGCAACGCCGCGUGAGGGAUGAAGGCCUUCGGGUUGUAAACCUCUUUUAGCAGGGAAGAAGCGAAAGUGACGGUACCUGCAGAAAAAGCACCGGCUAACUACGUGCCAGCCGCCGCGGUAA